GAAGUGAAAACAAUCAUGUAUUUGGUGGAUGACUAAAUGUAAAAAGAUAUGAUGGUUGAAUGGAAUGUAAUAGUUUUACAUUAGCUUUGUUUACUUGAAUUUGGUUUAAAUGAAAUCAAAUAUCAUGUGUAAUCUACAUUUAGCUUAGAGCUUUCGCUUCCGUUGUUGUUUGCCCUCGUGCAAGCCUUGUAUUAUAUUUGCAAUUCUCUUGUUAAUUGCCUAAUUAUAUGUAUUGUUAGAGCCUUGGGCGGACAGGGGAGGCUCUGUCCGUUCGGCGUCUGUUGACGUGACCCGAACCCGACCAAAUUGGCGGGGAUUGGGGCGUGACAUUAGGAUUGGAGACCUUAGGAAUUAGGACACGUAUGACGUGGACCUGGAUAUGCGAAGGCAAAUUGAUUGGGUUAUGAGUAGAACUUCUCUAAACGGAAAUAGAGAUGGAUUCAAGGGAACGUUUGUUUUCUGUUAAGGGAUUAUGUGGGGCGGACGGCUACAUAAUACCGAGAGUAGAAAAGGAACGUGCUUGAUUGCUUUCGCUUGAUUGGGUAGUUAUUUGGAACGAGUAAGAGUCUCGGAUGUCGAGUAUUAACGCGUGUGUUUCGUUUCAGG
rnacentral:lncRNA from 1 species